ACCUGUGUGACUGCGUACCUUUUGUAUAAUGGGUCAGCGACUUAUAUUCUGUAGCAAGGUUAACCGAAUAGGGGAGCCGGAGGGAAACCGAGUCUUAAUUGGGCGUUAAGUUGCAGGGUAUAGACCCGAAACCCGGUGAUCUAGCCAUGGGCAGGUUGAAGGUUGGGUAACACUAACUGGAGGACCGAACCGACUAAUGUUGAAAAAUUAGCGGAUGACCUGUGGCUGGGGGUGAAAGGCCAAUCAAACCGGGAGAUAGCUGGUUCUCCCCGAAAGCUAUUUAGGUAGCGCCUCGUGAAUUCAUCUCCGGGGGUAGAGCACUGUUUCGGCUAGGGGGCCAUCCCGGCUUACCAACCCGAUGCAAACUGCGAAUACCGGAGAAUGUUAUCACGGGAGACACACGGCGGGUGCUAACGUCCGUCGUGAAGAGGGAAACAACCCAGACCGCCAGCUAAGGUCCCAAAGUCAUGGUUAAGUGGGAAACGAUGUGGGAAGGCCCAGACAGCCAGGAUGUUGGCUUAGAAGCAGCCAUCAUUUAAAGAAAGCGUAAUAGCUCACUGGUCGAGUCGGCCUGCGCGGAAGAUGUAACGGGGCUAAACCAUGCACCGAAGCUGCGGCAGCGA
rnacentral:rRNA from 1 species